GACGAACGCUGGCGGCGUGCUUAACACAUGCAAGUCGAACGAAGAGCGAUGGAAGCUUGCUUCUAUCAAUCUUAGUGGCGCACGGGUGAGUAACGCGUAAUCAACCUGCCCUUCAGAGGGGGACAACAGUUGGAAACGACUGCUAAUACCGCAUACGAUCUAACCUCGGCAUCGAGGAAAGAUGAAAGGUGGCCUCUAUGUAUAAGCUAUCACUGAAGGAGGGGAUUGCGUCUGAUUAGCUAGUUGGAGGGGUAACGGCCCACCAAGGCGAUGAUCAGUAGCCGGUCUGAGAGGAUGAACGGCCACAUUGGGACUGAGACACGGCCCAGACGCCUACGGGAGGCAGCAGUGGGGAAUCUUCCGCAAUGGACGAAAGUCUGACGGAGCAACGCCGCGUGAGGGAUGACGGCCUUCGGGUUGUAAAGCUCUGUUAAUCGGGACGAAAGGCCUUCUUGCGAAUAGUGAGAAGGAUUGACGGUACCGGAAGAGAAAGCCACGGCUAACUACGUG
rnacentral:rRNA from 1 species